GAUGAAGAACGUAGCGAAAUGCGAUAAGUAAUGUGAAUUGCAGAAUUCAGUGAAUCAUCGAAUCUUUGAACGCACAUUGCGCCCGCUAGUAUUCUGGCGGGCAUGCCUGUCCGAGCGUCAUUUCAACCCUCAAGCCUCCGGGCUUGGUGUUGGGGAUCGGCGAGCCUCCGCGCCCGCCGUCCCCUAAAUCUAGUGGCGGUCUCGCUGUAGCUUCCUCUGCGUAGUAGCACACCUCGCACUGGGAAACAGCGCGGCCACGCCGUUAAACCCCCAACUUCUGAACGUUUGACCUCGGAUCAGGUAGGAAUACCCGCUGAACUUAAGCAUAUCAAUAAGCGGAGGA
rnacentral:misc_RNA from 1 species